GCUCCUGAUGGUGCGCCAAUGGGGAGUGGAAGCGCGUGUUCAAGUGAUUUUGGAGUUGAAAACAGAUGAGACCCUGCAGGCAGAUCAGAGAAAUCUCCUUUGUGGCAACACUUUGAGGCUCAAAACAAGCAGGAUGAUUCCCUGUCACGAUUAUGGAUGUAAUUUGUUAUUGCAGAUUUAAAUCUCUUGUCUGGACAAUUCUCAUCUCGUCAUUGUUUGUGAUCUACGGUGCAACUCCUUUAGGGCACCCGCCAGGUGUGGAUUUGUGCUCACCAAAUCCUUGCCAAAACCGAGCCUUGUGUCAAAACCGCAAGGAUGGCUACGGAUGCUUCUGUGUGCCGGGCUUCCAGGGUGCUCACUGUCAGAUUGAUGUCAACGAAUGUAUCUCCCAGCCCUGCAUGAACGGAGGCACCUGUAUAGACAAAGUGGGCCGCUACUCCUGUCUAUGUGCCACAGGGUUCACUGGGGCCACUUGUGAAGUCUCGAUUGAUGAGUGUCAAUUACAGCCGUGUCUCAAUGGCGGCAGUUGCCACGGCAACACUGGUGGCUUCAUUUGCACCUGCCAGCCCGGUUUCCAAGGACACCGGUGUGAAAUCAACAUCGAUGAAUGCCAAGACAAGCCGUGCCAAAAUGGGGCUAUGUGUAUAGAUGAAGAGAAUGGAUAUAGCUGCGACUGCUCAGAAACAGCCUUUACUGGUCGACGUUGUGAGGGCCUGAGACAACAAUGCUACUCUCAACCCUGUUUCAACAGUGCCACCUGUAUGGAGAGUCAGGAUCAUUACACCUGUCAAUGCUUGCCAGGGUUUGAGGGUACACUAUGUGAAAUAGAUAUCAAUGAGUGUGGCAGUAACCCGUGUUUGAACGGGGGCCGCUGCAUCGAGAGGUCAUGGCACGUCCUUUUUGGCAUCGAACCACUGCUACCUGAACGCUACGACCCACAGCACGCUGCAGGCUACAUCUGCAGCUGUCCUCCAGGAACAACAGGUUCUCUCUGCCAGGAGCUCAGAGACCACUGUGAUCCCAGUCCAUGUCUGAAUGGGGGGAGGUGUGAGAACCACAAUGGGGGCUACAUAUGUCACUGCAGUAAACAGCGUAGCAUACCCUACCUUUAUGGAGGUGCAAAGUGCGAUGUUCGGCUGGUGGGUUGUGACGGCCACGAGUGCCAGAACCAAGGCUCCUGCAAUCCCUUCCUGCUGGACGAAACUCACGGUUACACAUGCUCCUGCUCACCCGGAUACACCGGCCCCCUCUGCAAGACCCCCACCACCUUCUCAUUUGAACGUAGCGGCUACCUUCUGCUACAGAGCCCCUUUGUAGACGCUGAAAUCUCUUGCAACAUCACCCUCAGCUUCAAGACCGCUCUUCCCAGGGCUAUAUUAUUCCAGCGGAGCAUUCGGGGCCUGUUGCUGAGCCUGGAGCUGGAAGGGGGGCAGCUUCACCUCACACUUAGAAGGCAAGCUGUCGCCGGGCUCCAAGUGCAGAGUCAAAUUGGGGCUUUGGAGCUGUCCCACACAGUCACCGAUGGAGAAUGGCAUAGUGUCGAGGCAGUGCUCACAAACCGGGUGCUCAGUCUGAGACUCUUGAAUGAUGCGGUGGCAAAAUGUGAGAGGCAGUUGUGCUAUAAGGUGGCUCCAGUCCCAAAUAACUUGGAUGGGCUGGUGUCGCCCCCUCAGAACACCUUCAUUGGAGGGGUGCGAAAGGACUCAAGCGAGGACUCCUCACUUCCGCCAUUCAUUGGUUGCAUGCGGGAUGUCUUGGUGGACUGGCAACUGAUUGUCCCGGAGGAGUGGCUGAGCGACUCUGCAGUGAACGUUUCUCCUGGCUGCAGCCACCGCGAUCGCUGCUUGGAUGUGCCUUGCCAAAACAAUGGGCUGUGUGUCAACUUGUGGCAGAGCUACCAGUGCCUGUGUCCAAGGCCUUACGAGGGCCAAGACUGUGAAGAGGAAUAUGUGACUGCACGCUUCGGGAGCGAAGACUCGCUCAGUUUCGCUGCCUUCAACGUCACAGAUGACCUCGGUCAGGGCCUCUCAAUGUCUCUCUUCCUGCGUACACGGAAGCCUGGUGGCCUCCUGCUUGCUGUGGGCAACAGCAGCACGCAGUACCUGCGCGUGUGGCUGGAGGACGGAGUGGUCACUACUCAACUCGGGAACGUCAAGAGCCUGAGGGGCGAGAGCGCGGUCAAUGACGGUGAAGUUCACUUUGUGAAUGUGGAGGUGGUGAAGGGGCAAAUGACGCUGCACGUGGAUGCUCACAAACAAGCUGAGGUGGAGUCCAGGACAGAUGGGGUUCAAGCAGGAGACAUCGUCUACGUUGGGGGUCUGCUGAAGGGCGAGUCCACUGUUGCUUGGGGGGGACCUUUUAAAGGAUGCAUCCAAGACUUGCGGAUAAAUGACAGGAGGCUGCAGUUUUUUGGUUUGGACACUUCAGUGACAACGUUCCCUUUGCAAGUCAUGGAGAAUGUGACCGCCGGCUGCUCUGGAGACAACAUUUGCAGCAGGAACCCUUGUCUAAACGGCGGCAUGUGUUACAACAUGUGGGACGAUUUCACCUGCACGUGCCCACCCAGCACAGGAGGGCGACACUGUGAAGAUGUCAGAUGGUGCGAAUUGUCGCCUUGCCCCGCAGACGCUGAGUGCAAGAUACUCAACCAAGGAUAUGAAUGUUACUCCAAUGCCACUUUCCUGAAUGACAGCACUGUGCUGGUCUAUCGAGGAAAUGGACACAUAUUACGCAAUCUAACCAACCUCUCGGUGAACUUGCGCACUCGGAAACGCAGCGCAGCCAUCCUCCACGCCGAGAAGGGCCCUGCCUUUGUCACCCUCUCUGUCCAGGACGGCUUCCUCUUUAUGGAGCUUCAGAGCUCCACCAGAAAUGCAGGAGUGUCGGGGGAAGACGAGCGAGGGGAGUCCACAAUCAGCCUCAACAGCAUGAGACUUGUCAGUGACGGCGAAUGGCACAAUGUCCACUUGUUUAUGACGGCACCGUGGGCUAAUAUGUCUCAGUGGACUCUGGUGCUGGAUGAUGAAGUAGAUGAAGCCGUCACCUCCAGUGGUCAAGGGGGCAAUCUGGACUUCCUCAAGAAGGGAGUAGACAUCUUCCUGGGAGGUUUGGCGCCUGACGUCGGCUGGUCACUGGCAGGGUGUCUGGGCACGGUGGAGAUAGGCGGUAUUGCGCUGCCUUAUUUCAGCUCUUCUCAGGUGAACCUUCCACGCUUGCAGGAGGAGAAAUUUAUCCAUACGUCCCUCAAUCCUCCGCUGGUCGGUUGCAGCGGGGCGUCCGUAUGCACGCCCGACCCGUGCUUGAAUGGAGGGGCGUGCCAGGACUUAUUUAACUCCUACAACUGCAGCUGCGCUGAGGGCUGGGCAGGGAGGCACUGCGGCUUCUUCAUUGACACCUGCGCCUCCGGUCCUUGCCUCCACGGCAACUGCAGCAUCAAGGGGCUGAGCUACGAAUGCUCUUGCGAACUCGGAUACACGGGGGUAGACUGUGAGGAAGAGGUCGAUAGCUGUGAAAACCAUCUGUGCGCGCACGGAGGCACCUGCCUGCAUGGUCCUGACAGCUAUGCCUGUCUGUGUGCUGAAAACUACACCGGACCUCUCUGCAACGAACGGGUUGAAGAAAUUCCUUGGUACGUUGUUGUCAGAAAUAUGCGGCCCAAGCUUCCUGUGUCUGUGUGUGGAGAUGACCUCAAAAACUACACUUGCUUCAAUGGUGGCAACUGCACUGAGCGCGAGUUGUCAUGUGAUUGCCCGCCUGGCUUCGCUGGACACCGGUGCGAGCAGGAGGUGGACGAGUGCAAGUCCAACCCGUGUCUGAAUGGAGGCUACUGCCGCAACCUCAUCAACAAGUUCCUGUGCGUAUGCGACAUGAGCUACGCCGGCGACAUAUGCCAGACGGACUUGACCUCUGAAGGCGUGACGUCUGACCUGCUACUGGCCAUCAGUCUUGUGUCUGUCAUCCUGCUGCUGGUUCUCAUCCUGAUUUCGGCCGGACUGGUGGUCGCGUUGAACCGCCGAGCCAGCCACGGGACUUACAGCCCCAGCCGACAGGAGAAGGACGGAUCUCGGUUGGAGAUGUGGAGCAUCACUCAGCCUCCGCCCAUGGAGAGGCUCAUCUGAGCAGUGGAAAACAUCCGAGGAUGACCGAGGAAACGCCUGCGUCCUGGAGUGAGGCCUUCACAUUUGUUUAUGCACAUGCUGCCAAAUCGCCAUCUUGCUUUCAUCCAUCUUGCUGCACCUGCCACGCUCGGCGGCCUUCAUUCUCGAUAGAUUCCAGCUCACGAUGGAUGGAGUUUGUGUUUCUAAUCUAUAUUUGGAGGACAGAUGGAGCAAUGCUCUCCCAACAUGUUGUACACAUUGAAUACAUGCUGCUGUCACUUUUUUGUUGUUGUUGCUCCUGAAUGGUUCCAAUCAAAGUGGUCUUAAGGAAAAAGAAGGAAACCAGUGUUCGCAAUGUAUUAUUAUUUAAUGACUCUUAUCAAGCACCUUGAGUGUCCUAUUUUUUUUAAAGUCACAGGUGCAUGCGUAGGUAGAACCGUGGCAACAUUCUAAAACACUGUCAACGUGCUGUGCUGAAAAUGCAGUAUUUUAUCUCAAAGUGGUAGUGUGUUAAAUAAACAAAAACAUUUUUAGGACAUUUGUUUACUGCAGAGUCUCGAGUUGCAUCUGGAUUUACAGUGAUCCCUCGCUACUUUGAGGUUCACUUUUCGCGGUUUCAGUGCAUUUUCAGUGCAUUUUAAAUGAAUGCAAAAGCAUUCAUUAAAAAUAAAUACAUAAAUAAUGCCGCAAAAGGUUCGGGAGAGGCAGCCAAAGGCAGCAAAACAGCCAGUCACAUAAAGCAACAUAUACAGUACUACAUGUAUAUUUCAUGACUGUGUUUACUGUAUUUCGUUAUUUAUACACUAACCUAACCUAACUUAUACAUGUUUAAAUAUAUUAGUAUAUAGCAUUAAGUACUGUUAAUUACUACAAACAUGCAUGUAUACCAGUACAUUUGGCCUUAUAAAUAUUUAUACUCAUACACAUGUUCAUAUACCUAUAUGGAGGGUGGGGGGGUUUUGCUACUUAGCGGAUUUUCGUUUAUCGCGGGUGGUUUCGGUCCCCAUUAACCCCGAUAAACGAGGGAUCACUGUACUUGCAAAGACUGUUUUUUCUGUAUGUUCUUCACAAUAGAAGGCUUCAGAAAUAGAAAACAAAAGUUUGGGGCAUGCUGGAGCCUAUCCUGGACGUCAUUGGGCUGUAGUCAGAGUACACCCUUUAGUGGUUGCCACCCAAUUGGGGGGCCCACAUAGAUAAACAAGACAUUAAAGGCGGAGACUAGGCAAAAAACCCCACAUUAAUUUUAAGGAUAUUGAAAAAUAUUAAAUAAUGUAAAGAGCAUAACACUCAUGAAUCAUGCCUUGAGGGAAAUUGCU